UACGAAGGGGGCUAGCGUUGCUCGGAAUGACUGGGCGUAAAGGGCGCGUAGGCGGAUGGCUUUGUCGGGCGUGAAAUUCCAGGGCUUAACCUUGGGGCUGCGUUCGAGACGGGUUGUCUUGAGUGGGGAAGAGGGUCGUGGAAUUCCCAGUGUAGAGGUGAAAUUCGUAGAUAUUGGGAAGAACACCGGUGGCGAAGGCGGCUCACUGGCUCAUUUCUGACGCUCAGGCGCGACAGCGUGGGGAUCAAACAGG
rnacentral:rRNA from 1 species